rnacentral:miRNA from 1 species
UGUUUAGUAUAAAUAUGCCCAUUGAAACAUUUAGGGCAUAGUUAUACUAAAA